CAUGCCAAGUACAGAAUCAUCCACUUGGUGUGACCCCUACUGCUGCAUAAGUUAUCUAACCAUCCCGCAGCCUGAGGUUGAUGCUCAGGAAGAGUGAUGUGGGUGUCCCAUCAGCCUGGCAGUUCCUGAAAUGACAAAAAAAUUGGCCCUCUGUCUCUUUAAAAACUUCUGCCCUUUCUGAAACUCCUCCUUCAGGAAGUCAUCGCAACAUGGCUCCUCUAUUAACCCUUCAACAACGUUUUUAUCAGCGUUUCACAGAGGAGUAGCUGCUAGAAUGAGCUCAGCAGAUGCUCAGCUCCACCAGGUGUUUGCUAGUUGCUGCUGGCUAGUUUGAAGGAGUUGAGUUGGGAGGUCACAGGGGAGAGGGCUGCUCUGUGAGGAGGAAGCUUGGAAACUGCCUUUGAGGUGCGGCUCAAAGACGGCACACUGUUCCUCCAAGCAUUUUGCACAGCUGAAUGGUUGCCAUGGAGAUUAAAGAAUUUCUCAAAAAUGCAUGAAAGAAUCAAAGCAACACUCUAGAAAAACGGUUCCAUCUGCAAAAUAUGUUCUCCCAGGUGUUUGAUGGAUUCUACGUCUUCCUGUUAGAAUUAAAAAGCACGAGACGAGUUGUGUUUUGUUGGCCAGCAGGUCUGAAAGCAGCUGCCCAGAGAGGAAUGUGGACUGCUUUUGGCUUCAGCCUGCAGGAUUUGGAUUCUGAAUUCCCUUCAAACUUUGAGUUUGUCUCCUCUCUUGGCGGCGCGCAGCAGACUGAAUAAACAGUCGGGUUGCCAUUCUCCAACACCCAAGCUGUCUGCCCAACAUUAUUAAUGGUAGCAGAGAGUGGGUAGCCUUUUUGAAGUACCAACGUCUUGGAGAGAGACUGCAAAAGCUAGUUUAUAUUUAACCCAGACUUGCAGGAAGUGGGAGCAAUAUAUGGCCUGUUAAACAGUAAUCAAUCAUUUCUUAAGAUAGCGUCAGAAGAAUUUAAUAGAGUGCUGUUUUUUUUUAUGUUCCAGCUCCACAGCCUUUAUUUUCCACAUUCUGCUUUGAAUAUUUCCUCCAAAGCUUUCCUUGACUGAAUGUUGGUUUGAUGUUUUUUUAACCUGAAUCCACUGAAGCUUGAAGGAGUCUAGAUGGAGUAUGGAAUAUGGUAAACAAGACAAGCUAUUGUUUGUGUGCCCCCUCUAAGAUAAAACCUGUGUUUCUGUGAGCCUGAAGAGCUGAAGACUGAGGAAGUGUCUGUCAGGGAAGUGUUUAUGAGGAAGAGAGGAAGAAAAGCGGGCGCUCGGGGGAGCUGCCCUUUCCUCCUGAUACAUCUCCACUCCUGCUCCAACUGUGUGUUUCUCUGAGUGUGUCCACUCCAGGCUCUAAAACGGGGAGGAAAAGUGAGGGAGCACCCAGGGGGUCUCAGCUCCUGCCAGCGUCAACAGCCGGAAAAGCGAUUAGAAUUAAAAG